rnacentral:rRNA from 1 species
UGCAGUCACUCAGCCAUCUGGUGGAUGGCUCGGCUCGAGUGCUGACGAAGGUCGUGCCAAGCCGCGAUAGGCGAGGGGUAGGCGCAAGGAACCUUAGAUCCCUCGAUCGCCUAAUGGGACUUCCCGCUAGAGACAACCUCUAGCAAUCCACGCGGAUAGGGAACUCCCCGAAUUGAAACAUCUUAGUAGGGGAAGGAAAAGAAAUCAAUCGAGAUGCCGUGAGUAAAGUCGAUCGAAAGCGGUGUAGAGCAAACCGAAUCCUGCUGGAAACAGUUAGGAGAUGUGGUGUUUUGGACUCCGGUACAUCUUCGCCAUCGAAUCCGAAGUCUCCUGGAAUGGAGCACCAAAGAGGGUGAUAGUCCUGUAGGAGGAUGAUGGAAAGAUGAUUCGGGGUCUCCAGAGUAGUGUGCGUUGGAUAUCGCGCGCGAAUUUGGGAGGCAUACACUCCCAACCCUAAAUACGACUCGAGACCGAUAGCAAACUAGUAUCGUGAGUGAAAGCUGAAAAGUAUCCUUGACGGGAGAUGAAAAGAACCUGAAACUAGAUGGUUAAAGUCUGAUAGGGCAUGAAAGGGAAGAAGCUCUUUAACUGGAGUGGACCGAUGUCCUGUCGUACGUUCUGAAAAACGGGCCAGAGAGUUCUGAUCCAUGGCGAGGCUAAGCCUGCUAAGGGCGGAGCCGAAGGGAAACCAAUAGGUUCGCAUUCCGCAUCUGCGGAAGAGGAACAAGGUGUGUUCGCCUGGAGUCAUCGGUCAGAGAUCCGAAACCGGUCGAUCUAUGCCUGAGCAAGGUGAAGCCUUCCGAAAGGGAGGUGGAAGCCUGCAGGGGUAGUGAGCUACAAAUCCUUCCCAUGACUUGGGCAUAGGGGUGAAAGGCCAAUCUAGACCGGAGAUAGCUGGUUCCUUCCGAAACUACUCGAAGGUAGGCCUUGUCAGAGGUAGAUGAUGGAGUAGAGCACUGAUUGGGUAUUCGGGGGCGAGAGCCCUUGGUAUGCUGUCAAACUCAGAACCUAUCAUCGCCGUCGACGACAGGAGUAAGGGCACCGGGGUAAGCUUGGUGUCCGAAAGGGCAAGAACCCAGCCUGGGGUUAAGGUCCCAUGAAUGCCGGCUAAGUGUUAGAUUAAAGGGAGUCCGCAGUCGAAAACAACUAGGAGGUGGGCUUAGAAGCAGCCUUCCUUUAAAGAGUUCGUAACAGAUCACUAGUCGAGAUUGUGGGCCCCGAAAAUGGACGGGGCUAAGCCGGCUACCGAGACCCUGGAGUACCGAAAGGUAAUCUAGUAGGAAGGCGUCGGGCGCGGGUAGAAGCUUGGCCGUGAGGUCGAGUGGACCGCGUUCGAACGAGAAUUCUGGUAUGAGUAGCAGCAAAGAACGGUGAGAAUCCGUUCCGCCGUAGGGGCUAGGGUUCCUCGGCAAUGAUCAUCAGCCGAGGGUUAGCCGGUCCUAAGGUGGCCCUUAACCGAGGUCACCGAACAAGGAAAACAGGUUAAUAUUCCUGUGCCUCUAGCGCUUCUGCCCAGUCCAUGACGCAUCGGGAUCGCUUGAGCAGAGCUCUCGCUCUGUCGAAUAGUAUAAGCCCGGGGAGAACCGUAAUGGUGAGAACUGGGUGAAAGCUUGAUAGGGCGGACUGAGUCCGCUUCAGGCUAAUUCUGGUGCCCGUGAAAAGUGGGCUGGUAAAUCAUCGCUAGAGACCGUACCGAGAACUGACACAGGUGCCCCUGCCAUAGCAAGGCAAGGCGCGUCGGGUUAAAUCAGGCUAGGGAAUUCGGCAAAUUGGCCCCGUACCUUUGGUAGAAGGGGUGCCAGUCAUGCGAAUGGCUGGUUGCAAUAACAAGGGGUCCUCGACAGUUUAAUAAAGACCUAGGUGGCAGCUAGUCCGAAAGGAUUUGUACUGCCGUCGAAUCCUGCCCAGUGCCGGUAUCUGAAUCCCUUUUACAAGAGGUGGAAGGACCGGUAAACGGCGGGAGUAACUAUGACUCUCUUAAGGUAGCGUAAUACCUUGCCGCUUAAUUGGCGGCUUGCAUGAAGGAUCAACGAAGGACCCACUGUCCCAG